CGGCGGACGGGUGAGUAACACGUGGGUAACCUACCUAUAAGACUGGGACAACUUCGGGAAACCGGAGCUAAUACCGGAUAAGAUAUCGAACCGCAUGGUUCGAUAGUGAAAGAUGGUUUUGCUAUCACUUAUAGAUGGACCCGCGCCGUAUUAGCUAGUUGGUGAGGUAACGGCUCACCAAGGCAACGAUACGUAGCCGACCUGAGAGGGUGAUCGGCCACACUGGAACUGAGACACGGUCCAGAAUCCUACGGGAGGCAGCAGAC
rnacentral:rRNA from 1 species